rnacentral:lncRNA from 1 species
UUCCCCCAUUUUCAGAGACAAAGGGUUUUCCCUAUUUGUCUUAGUUUUGUUAUGAUUUUCAUCCAACCAUUAUAGGCGGCUGCGGCUUAGCGUCGAAUCUUCACCUACAUUUCAGCGUCGGAUCUCCAAAACCAUCUUUUUUGUAAUUUCUUUAUAUUUGGAAUAAGUUGCAGAGACUCUUUGGGUUCUCUGUGUAGUUUCACCUUUCCUUUUGUGAGAAUUUUUCAUCUCUCCUUUGUGAGAGCUUUUCAUCUCUCCUUUGUGAGAGUUUUAUUUGUAUUGUUAUGGCUUGGUUUUUUCAAGCUUUAUCUCUUUUUUAUUAUUCUAAGUUUGCAAUCUUAGUUGGGAUGUCUAUGCCAGAGUUUCUUCGAUCCUACAUGAUCGUUAGUGUAGACACACCAGAUUGUCUUAAUUUUGAUAUUAGACCACUUCGUUAUUGUAAUGGCCCUUUUGUGGCUAGUUUGUAUUGGCCAUUUGUGUCUAGUGGCUUUUUUGACUGAAUUAUGAAUGCAAUUAUAGAAUUUCUC